AUAUCAGAAAACCUCCCUAACCUAAUCCCCUAAAAAAGAUCAGCCACUCCCUUUCAAUUUCUCUCUAUUCGAUUUCAGAAAAUUUCCAAAAUGCUUUCGGUAAAAGCAGGACUAUGUUCUUCCAUUUUUGUGCAAAAUUGUAGUGCUUUGAAAUUCUCUCUUUCAUAUUCAACUGAUCAAUCAACACAAGAAGCCAAAAGACUUUUUGAAAAUAUGAUUUUUUUAAUGUAGAAAAUCACUUUAGCAACUUCAAACGACUCAUUUUGGGACUCCAAGAUCUACCCGUGACCUCCCUACUCUGUAAAAUUUGAAUUUAAAAAAUAAAAAAUUUGUCUUACCAUUCUUUUCCUAUAACUACUUCCUCAUCUUCAACAAAGGAGAAACUUUUCUUAAUCAUAAGAACAUCAUACAUGGUGGAAGUUAUUUAUAACGUUUAGCUAUCACCAUCCAUGCCAAAAUUCUUGUAUUUUCUGUUUGCUUUUAUCGAACUCAUUAGGUUCGAGGGGUGAAUCUGAUCAUAACAAGAGAGUAGAUUCUACGCCGACGUCCUAGUUCACUACACUACAAAAGGUACGAAGACUUGAUGUUUGGGUACAAGAAGUGGCAUAUCACCAAAAGGAACCAAGAAGGAUGGACAUAACAAAAUUUCUUUUACUUUAUUUUAAAAGUACUUUACGUUGUAUUCAUUCGACAUGUUUUGUACCUUAUUUUGAUUUUUUUUUAUUUAAUUAAUCAACAGUAAUGGGAUGACAUAUUAUGACAAA